rnacentral:lncRNA from 1 species
UGGGCUGUGCUGGAGCAGGUCAGUGGAGGAGGAGAGGAGGCACUCACUGGGCUGCAGGACAGGUUGAGGUGAGCCUGGUCAAUACAGCCCACAGCCACCUUGACUGCUGCUGAGUGCCACAGCUGCCCUUGGGAUUUGCUGUUUGACUGCUGACCCCUUUUAAAAAAAUAAAAAUGUAAAUUUCAGAAAGAAUAUCUGCCCCAGUCUGUAGGGUUCACCCAGUUUUUCCUCUUUGGAAACUGUGGCUUGAUACACUUCCCAUGGAACCAUUUGUGUACGCUGGCUUCGGUUGAAGACCUGUCACACGCAUUGUGUUUCUAACAGUCCAACAAUUUCAGCAAACAGUGCUUUUUUUUUUUUUUUUUUUUUUUAACCAGUCUUUGUGAACCAGUAAAACCCAUUCUACAGACUUCUUCAUACCAUAUAAAGAUGCCUCCCACAGAGGUAGUACUUAGCACCCCCUCUUCCAUGGAGAGGCAUUCCCACCUGGCCAUGCUACACCCCCUUAACUCUGGGAGAGCCCAUAACCUUCUGUAUGGGUAGCAGGUGGCAACAGGUCUCUCACCUGCAGUAACUCAGUUAUUAAGUAUGGAAACAGCUGGGCCUACUUGUGAUCUUUCUGUUCUUAGCUGUUUGUUGCCAUUUCCCAGCAACCAUCUGCAAUCUGUGGCUGAGCUCAUGGAGGAGCCUAGAAGAGCUGUUUGGUGAUUCUUUGCUCACUAGAGUACUUUUGAUGCUUUCCUCUGGAGGUGGAGAUGCUUGGGUGGAAAGGCUGCAGUUUUGUUCAACUUCACCCAUUUUUGAGGUAAAGUACCAUGGAGUGUACCUGAGACUGAGGCACUGUUGCAAUACAAAAUUAUUGUCAGUGUCACAUCGUGUUUGAGAUUAAUUUAGCCAUAGGUCUUGUUGUCUGAAAGAUUUAAGAGUAACAUUUUAAAUGAGAGUCCCAACUAUGUAUUUAAUUUAGAUUUAAUAUGGCAGUUAUUUGUUCUGCUAAUAAAAACCCCAUUGCAUAUUAAAAACA